rnacentral:rRNA from 1 species
UACGUAGGUGGCAAGCGUUGUCCGGAAUUAUUGGGCGUAAAGCGCGCGCAGGCGGUCCUUUAAGUCUGAUGUGAAAGCCCACGGCUCAACCGUGGAGGGUCAUUGGAAACUGUCGGGAUUGAGUCAGCGAGGGGAUGGCGGAAUUCCCGGUGUAGCGGUGAAAUGCGUAGAUAUCGGGAGGAAGGCCGGUGGCGAAGGCGGCUUUCUGGACUGUAACUGACGCUGAGGCAUGAAAGCGUGGGGAGCAAAC